UGGUGAACCAGAAGCUAUGUGUUGACGCCCAGGGCGGGGGCUGGGCUACACAAACCUUCUGGUACACCUGUGAUUCGCUCUCCUCCUCCGUUCACGAAAUGAACGGGGCAGCACGACGAAUCAGGAUCGUAGGGAGGGAUUUCAGUGGGUAUGACGUUUAUCGAACGCGACACCUUCCCCCAGGGUAGUUCGGCUGUGCCCGCCCCCUCACUGAAUCACAACAGUAAUGGCGGCGUGCGAGGAGUUAUCAUGCGUCGGGAUGGAAGCAGCAAUUUCAGCGGUGUUAUCCAAAAUACCUCAAGUUGAUUCUCUAAAGGAGGAACAGUCCCGAGUCAUGGCUAAAGAAGAAGUGGCUGGCUAUGCUUUCUUCUGAAGUCUAUCAAAAAAACCUGGUGGGAAUUGUUGUGGAUGAAGUUCACGUAAUCUACAGAUGGGGCAACGGUGUAAAGGGGAAUCCAGCAUUGAGAGAGAGAGCUUUUCUCGCCUGGGACAACUCUGCUCAGUUGUGAAAGAAAGGCACACCGGUCAUGGCUUUGACGGCUUCAGCAGAAGUUGUCAACAGAGAGGGUCAUCAAGCUGCUACACAUGCACAAUGCAACCCGGGUGACAGUGAGCCCAAAUAGACAUAACAUCAGGCUUGGCCUGAAACAUGUAUCUAGUAAUACCCUCUACCCUCACAUGCAGUCUUGUAUGCAAUCAAAGGAUCACCUACGGUUGACAAGACAGUGAGAGAAGUGAUUAAGGCAGGCACACAAGGCUGUUUAAGGAGAGCCUUAUUUAGCCACUUCGACAUGCAUGUCACAAAUUUGGAGCCUGGUCAUAGUUGUUGCACCUAUUGCCAUUCCAUUUGUUUGUGUUCAUCUGGUGUUUGUUCUGAGCCUGUGCCAAAAUUUGAGUCUGUGCAAACACAGGUGUGCACUACUACCCCACAAAGAUCUAGAGAUGUGACAGAAGAGGACAAGAAUGUUAUCAGGGCCUGCUUGCAGCAGUACAGGCGUACAUUAGUACCAAACAUGCCACUUGUCACAAGCAAGGCUUUCUGCACCGGGUUUGGAACAAAGCUAAUAGAAGCAGCAGUCAACCAUAGUCCUUACAUCUUUGAUAUCACUUAUAUAACAAACAACUUACCAGUGUGUAGGCUAC